UACGUCGGGUGCGAGCGUUGUCCGGAAUUAUUGGGCGUAAAGAGCUUGUAGGCGGUUUGUCGCGUCUGCCGUGAAAAUCCGGGGCUCAACCCCGGACUUGCGGUGGGUACGGGCAGACUAGAGUGUGGUAGGGGAGACUGGAAUUCCUGGUGUAGCGGUGAAAUGCGCAGAUAUCAGGAGGAACACCGAUGGCGAAGGCAGGUCUCUGGGCCACUACUGACGCUGAGAAGCGAAAGCGUGGGGAGCGAACAGG
rnacentral:rRNA from 1 species